AAGGGAAGAGAAGUUCCUGGGGAACUGCUGGACAUUACUGAGGCUGAACACAAUGAACUUUCAGUUGUGGGAUCUUUUCCACCAAUAUUCAGUUUUCAGAAUAUGAACCUAAAAAAAGCAAACAGCACUACUGAUCCCAGAUUUGGAUUUUGACAGAUGAGUAGAAUGGAAGGUAUGGAGUUAAGGAUACUGCAUGAAGCGACUGAUGGACCAGGCUAUGUAUCUAAGCUAGACUGACUCUAAACUGCAUCAGAAAGUAACUAACAACAGAAGAGGGACAACAUAUAGAAAGAAAGUAGAGUCAAGAGAUUGAAAUGCCAAGAAGCAGGGACAGUGUGACUGACUAAAUGAAAGAAGUUGACACUGUAAUGUGAUUGCAACUGAGGAUAUCUUGGGCAAUUUUUCACCAUUGGCCAGUUACUUCGAAUGUAUGGAUAAUCAAAGUGCGACAGACCUCUAAAGAUUCCAAGUGUCUACUUAAAAGCUGUUAAGUGAAAAGUGAUGAAAUGGAGGACACCCACAAUAAUUCUUGGACUCCUGGAGAUCCUAAGACAUGCUACAAAAAUAGGUCUUUAUUCUUAGGAAAAUAUAGUCAGAGCUAGCUUCCUUAUGCUAUACAUAAAAUCUUAACAUCAGAGGCAGUACAGAUAGUACAGAUAGUUUUUGAACUGAUCUCCAAACAAGCACAAAACCACUACGUUGAAAAGAACAGGUAAUUUGAGGUUUUUGGCAAAAGACAGUACUUCACACAUCUAAUCCAAAUCAAAGGGCCUGCAGACAGUUUUCAGUGAGAUGAAAGGAAUGAAAUAAAUAUAAAUUCUACGGAUAAAUAAAUGUAAAAGACAAUUUAAAUAAGCUAACAGAACUAAUUUUUUUAAAUAAAAAUACUAGUCAGGUACAAGCUUUUGUUUCUCAAUGCCAGACUUCUAAAUAUUUACCAGACUACUGUUAACAUUAAAAACCUAACCUUUGACCCAGAGCGUUAGUAAUAAUACUGGUUUGCAUCUGCACAAUUUUCAAACUGAAUGCUUCUGGUCCUGAAGAAUAUUUUAGGUGUAUUACUGAAGGCAGACUGUGGUGCUAAUUUAAGUCUUAAAUACUUUUAAAAAGUGACAGACCCCAAAAGUCCAUCUAGUAAUUUGCUAGUUAAAAAAUGCCUGUGAGCACUGCUUCAUAAUUAGCAUCUUAAGAAAGUAGUGGCAUGCCCUAUUGAGUGGUAUGAUCACUGAGUAAUUAAUACACCUUAAAACAAUAUCCCCACAAGUCUGUUUCUUUUAUGUAUUUGUCAGUUAAGUUCUUUAGUCAUUAAUUUUACACCCACCAAUGAAUUCCUAUGGCCAGAUGAAAAUUUUGUGGUAUACACAGUUAGAGAGAAAAUGAUCAUGGUGGGUAUUCCUGUAAGUUUUACGAACUUGAGAAGCUUUAGCACCCUCUCCUAAAUGCAUGAAGCCCUUCUAUUUAAUUUCUCCCCUUAAAAUAGAGACUACGUAUGAUACUCUGUAAUAAUAUGGGAUCUUUUGCUAUGUUUCUGACAACUUUUGGCUUCACAGUCAAAAAAGCUGUUCCAAAUGUGUCAAUUUUGCCUAUCUAGCUUGAUGUUCAUCAUUCUAUUCUUUAAAAACUUUUAUAUACAAUAACUCAGAUCACCACCCCAUCAAUCCAUUUCUAUGUUGUUCCUAUUUUAUCAUGAGGAAACUACAUUUUAAGUCAGAUUUGCAGUAACUGGUAGAAAAGUUUCUUAAGCUAAAAUUGCAAUCAUGAGUGUACAACAGUUUUGUGUGUGCACAAUUUUCCCUUCAUUUUUAACAUCUGAUUCAGUUGCAAUGGCCGAAAACCUUCCACAAAAAGCAUGCUUGGGAGAAUAUAUCUAACAAAAUUUUCUCACAAAGCAACUUUCUGAAAACUGAUAAACUAAAUUUGUGAUCACUUUUGAUUGCCAAGUAGUCUGCAGAAACAAAAUCUUGCGUCUGUUUUGGUUAGAUAACUUAAGUUUUCUUUUUAACAAUCAGAAUGCUUUAAGAAUACAUUUUUUACCCCAAGGAAGGGACUUGACUCUUGAAUUUAAGACCCUUUCCUUGACAAUAUAUACAAAAUUUCUUUGACUUAUCACUGUCCAUUCUUUGAAGCUGUCAAAGCCAAGAACCCAUAAACAAAUCACAAAUAGCAAUAACCUACAUUAGUUAACAUUCCCCCUUUAACAUGUUGACAUUUUUACUAAAGGAUUAGUUAUUUUUGCAUUUCCAUUUCUCAUAUCCCAUGACAUUCCAUAUAAAUUGCAUUAUUGCUUUAUAGGCCACACAACAUUCAAAAGUAUGUUUAUAUGCAUUGCCUGUUUUCCUUGAUCUGAUAAGACUUUGAUACUGAUUUUACUACAGAAAUUUAAGUUUGAAAAUACCACAGUUAGUAUUUCUUCUCAGAACGUUAAUUGUUCACAUCACUAAUCACUACAUGCAUAUUUAGCUCUGAUUAUAUUGCUCAAAAACUGCACCCAUUAUCAGAACAGUGCAAAUGAUAUUUAAUUUUAAAAGUAAUUAUAAUGGCUUGAAUUCAAAGUCAUUCAAAUGAACACUGUCAAGUAAUUUCACUUGAUGUGUAUAUAUUUCAUCACCACUGUUUACAUUACCCUUCUUUAAGUAUAACCAUCAAUUCUUCACAAUUUCUUUUUAUCAGUUUCCCUCCCAAGUCCCCAAACUAAGAAUGCCAAAUAGUCUUGAAAACCCAGAGCUCCAUAUUUUAAUGUUUUCUUGAGAACACAUUUGUGAACUCACAAAAGUGUUCAUCUCUCAACUUUGACAAUGCAGUUCUUACUUUAAGUAAAACAAACCUGUCCUAAAAUCCCAACAAAUAAUUCUGAGAAUUAACUUAAACACCUUGACAGUGUCCCUUAAAAAUGCUAUGACAGUAAAGUGCCAAUAGGCAUGGCAAUGACCUCUUAGAUGGGAUCAUUUAACUCCUCGGAACUGGGAAAUGCCAGCACCAAGGAUUACACUGAGAUUCAAUUUUACUGAAGGCUACAUUUAGUUUACCCACUUUCCACAACCUAUUAUAUUCAUUAUGUUAGAAUGAAAUGUAAAUGUUUUGUGUAGCCCUCAAACUUACACUAAGUUUUGAGAGAGAUGUACUUUAAAAAAGCACGGGGUAAUAUAUAAAAUCAGUGGCAGAAAGUUUCAUUAAGCACCAGGAACUAAUUUUUGUCACCCCAUACUCAUUUUGUAGGUAAGUUUCAAUAACCGGCAAGGCACAUUUACAUAUAUUCCAAUGAAUACUUAUUGACAAAUUUUAAAUUACACUCUAUGUCCCAGCUAUCCCAGUAACUGACAUACAACAUACUAAAAUGAUUUAUUUAGAUAACAAAAAACCAAUUAAUGUGAAACAUACAGGCUAUUGGCAACCACUAUUCUAAAAUUAUGUAAGUACAAAUAAACAUACUGAAAUGUGUGCAAUUCUAAGUUUUUAAACCAGAAGAUUUCUACACUAACACACAUUUAUAUUAAUGACACAUAAAAAAAAUAAAAACUUUAUUACAAAAAUAAGUUACACUCGCCUCCAGCUUACAGUAUAAAACAAUUUUAUUUGCAGGAAUGCAAAAUGAUUGUUUGCCAUGAGCAUUUUGAACAUAUGACAUGUCUAAUUUUCUUGUUAAAUUUGCAUUUACUGGGGAACUGGUGUGUAUAAAACCUUAAUUAAGUAUAAGCUCUGAUCUUCAUCGUGGUGCCUAUUGGGUAUGUGAUAUAACUGCAGUAUCCCUUUGGGGAAGGGGAGAGGGGAUUUCUUUACACCAAGUCCUAAUGAAACUAUAAUUUUCACUUUUUACUUUAAGCUAUCAACUCAGGACUUGGCAAAAAAAUUUUUGAGGGUGAUUCAAUAGAGGAUGCUUCACCACUGAACACUCACUGUCAAGGUGCUUUAGAAAAUUAAAAACAUAGCACAAAUGAUUGUACUCUACUCUACAAGUUAUCAUGACCUGCAUAAGAAAUGGAAAGCUGAUUCACAUGUUUACUGUGAUCAGCAGUAAGAAAUGCACUAAUGAAACAUACCUUUUACCUAAAAAGCUAAACUACAGCCAUAUACUAAUUUCUAUGAUUUAUGAAAAAACUUCAAAAUAUCCAAAUGUCAGGCUUCGCUGUACAAUUGUCAGUUUUAGUCUGACUUUUUAUAAAGGGACACUGCAGUAUUUAGUACAAGUUCGGAUGCACUUUUUUGAACAUCUGAUGUCUUACAAAAGUAACAUCUUGCUAAACUAUUAUACAUCCAAAUAACUACAAUAUCUGAAGAAGCAAGGCUGCUUUUUCAGCCACAAAAUACGACAAAAGCAAGGCCUGUUAUGAUGGUCAUGAGGAAGUCUUACAAGCCUCUGAAACUAAAGGCAACUAAGAAUGUUACAUUUGGUAUAUUAAAAUCUUACCCUCAUAUCAUAUUUAACAAGCCUUGCUUUUAUCUACAAAGAUUUUCUAUGUACAGUACAGACAGGGUAUAGUUCAAUCCUCUGCUACUGAGGUAGUUAACCAACCCUUUAAAAAGGUUCUGAAAAGAACCACUAUCUGGAAUGCCUGACUAACCAGCUCUGAUGAUUACACCUGAAACUGCAUAUCUGAACACAAUUCAAAAGUGAUUACUAUAAAAAAGAUAUAGACAAUCAUGAUUAACCUUGGUGAGCAGAAAUAAAAUUUAAGGAUACCAUCAGUGGCAUUCAUCUAUACCACUGCAAUAAAAUUUAAAUGCACAAAUUCAAGAGAAUAUUUCAAAAUACCACUGUUGGGAUCCUUAAUUUAAAAAAGGGGAAAAAUCUACUUAGAGCAGAUUUUUAAAAGAACUUUAUUCUUUAUUAAGAUACCAUGCUAGGAGUUAUGAAGGAUUUCUGUUGGAACACAUUUUGAAAAUAGAGUAGCUUUAGUUUAAUAACUUGCACUGCAGAGAAAAUUGUUAAAGAAAUUCAUAUCAAAGUCCAAGUAUUAGUUCAAUGUCCCGUAUUUGAUUCCAUGAUCUUCAUAGGAAGGUCUUCUGCAAUAGAAUAUGCUCCUAUACAGCCGAGAUAUUUAAGGUUGCUUGAUUUCCUUACCAUUACUCCACUGCAAGCUUCUGGUGUAAUCCCACAUAGCAAGUCAGUCUUCAUUGUAACAGGUCAGGACCGGCCUCGACCCCUUUUCCCUGCUAGCCAGGUAACAAAAGGAAUCAGUUAGAUAAAUCAUCUUAAAUUAAUAAUGUGUACAUACAUAAUGAUAACAUUUAAAAAGACAAGCUUUAACAUGGUAAUUCUAAAUAUACUGUCUAGCCAAAAAAGUUGCCUUUAAUAACUAUUAACUUCUUUUUGUUUUUUACUUGCUUUGAGGUUUUUGGUUUGCUUUUCUGCCCCUUUGAGUGAAGAGGCUGGAUUGAGGUUUGAAAACCCCAUUUUGUUCACAAACUGAUUUUAUUUAAAAAAAAAAAAAAAAAAAAAAAAAAAAAAAGACUAACAGAAAACCUAAACAAAGUUACACCUUAAAGUUACCCAUUAACUUGCAAUUCCCAUUUUUGAGACAUGAAAUAAUCAUAAAAUAUGCUGAAAGCAAACAUCUGAGACUUGUUUGACCUUGAGAUUUGAAAUUUACUGAUUAACAUUUUUAAGAAAGUCUGUCUUUCAAGUCAUGUAUUUUUCACAUGUAACUUUAUUGUCAGGUAUAAUAUCUUUAAAUUGAAGGGUGAUGGAGGUUCAGAAGUGGGGAGUGGCUGUUAAACCUUUUCACUGUUGACCUAGAGUCUGUCCCCCAACUCUAACAUUUCCCCAUCAUUACUGUCAUAAGUAUAGACCAUAUGGCCAAAACAAGACUAAAAUGUGAAAUAAAAACCCAAACUAUUAGAUCUUUAAUACAAACCAGUCUGUGAGGUAAAUUUUAUCCUUCAGAUAUAUUUUUGCUUACCCAAAACUAACUGUAAAGCUGUUUUAUUUUUAAUUAGGUAAGUACAGUGAUUUAGAGUUCAACUCACAAAUUACCCAAACCUAUUCCCCAUUGUUUUCACACUGGAGUUUCUUUGAUGCUUUCUAGUCCCAUGGUGUGCAAAACAGUCAAGAGGGCAAUAUACUCAAUCUGAGUUUUAGGUUAGUUAGGAUAAACUUUAGGCAACUGAAAGUGGACUUGUCAGUGUGACCUGCAAACCCUUUGAGACUACCUGCAUUUGUCCUUUAAACAGUUCAUUCAUCACAAUUAAGAACUCUAAAAUACUUACCAACUUAAACUUACUACAUGUAUUAUCUUUUUAUUUUUGAUGGGAACAUGAAGUCUGUUGUAAAAUAGCACUUUAAACCAGAAGCAGAAAACUGCAAUAAAUCAGUGUUGUGUAAUGUGCAGACAUAUUCCACACAAGAAUUAACAAGGCACAAAACCCUUUAAUUGGCCUUGACAUGCUAUACAAUUUGAACCAAAUUUGCAGGAAAUUUUGUGAAAAACGAAUUGUAAACACAAUUUUAGUAAGUAUACAUUUAGGUGUGAAUUUUUUAUUGAAAUAAACAACAGCAUAAAGAAUACAAGUAGCCAAAAUGGUUUUGAAAACCCAAAUUAGGUCAAAGUUCUAAAUUAAAAAUAGCAGUUGUGUAUCAAUUUACCUUAUUCUAGCAAUUUAAGUUGGUAACAUACAAAGUUAUUCUGAUACAAGAUAUUAAAGACAUACUUGGUUUUAAUCAACUACCUUUGAAGACACCAAAUCUAAACACUACUGGAAACAUUGUUUACACUACAGCCAAAUGGACUUGAGUCAAAUUUUCUCAAGCACAAAUGCAAACUCAUUAACUAUUUCUUUCAGUAUCUAAGAAUAUCUUUAUUGAAAAAAAA